rnacentral:rRNA from 1 species
AUUGAACGCUGGCGGCAGGCCUAACACAUGCAAGUCGAGCGAGUGGCGGACGGGUGAGUAAUACAUGGGGACUGCCCGAUCGAGGGGGAUAACUACUGGAAACGGUCGCUAAUACCGCAUACUAUCGGAUAACCCAUAUGGGAUUAGCUAGUAGGCGGGGUAAAGGCCCACCAAGGCGACGAUCGGUAGCUGGUCUGAGAGGAGGAUCAGGCAAACUGGAACUUAGACACGGUCCAGAGUCCUACGGAGGCAGCAGUGGGGAAUAUUGGACAAUGGGCGCAAGCCUGAGCCAGCCAUGCCGCGUGUGUGAAGAAGGCCUUAGGGUUGUAAAGCACUUUAAGUGGGGAGGCGUUACCAACAGAAGAAGCACCGGCUAACUUCGUGCCAGCAGCCGCGGUAAUUC